ensembl:lncRNA
CUAGCUAGCUAAUAUUGGCAUUUCCUAAAUUAGCCAUGGAUGAAGAUAGGGAUUUGGACUUGUGGUUUUACUUAAUUCUCCAUACUGGCCAAUGAUUAUAAUGGCGAUUCUGAUCCAACUAUAAAAUACAUUGUGCCCCCGGCCUAAAUGUAUGGAAGUUCAAUAUAAAGCUAGAUGUAGAAGGCUAAUGUUAACUAGCUAACGUUGCUCAUGAAUGGAAGUUAUACUAGCGAGCAAGCAUUUUAGCUAGAUAGCCUAGGACAACAACAAAUAAAAGCGUGUACUGUAUGAAAGAGUCAUAGACCGUUUCAUCAACAUGAAAAAUAGGAGGAUUGCAUUGGCGUUUCUCCAUAAGUAAGGUAUUUUUCCUUAGCUCUGAGAGCUUUUUCAUCUUGAGGGGGAGAGAAAGGAGAUUUGGCAUGGGUCCCCAGUUCCUCAAAAAGUUACACAGCUGCACCAUCGAGAGCAUCCUCACCGGUUGCAUCACCGCCUGGUAUGGCAACUGCUCGGCAUUCCCGACCAUAAUGCGCUACAGAGGAUAGUGCGUAUGGCCCAGUACAUCACUGGGGCCAAGCUUCCUGCCAUCCAAGACCUACAGUGCCUUGCGAAAGUAUUUGGCCCCCUUGAACUUUGUUCACAAAUGCUCUCCAUCCAACCUCACUGAGCUCGAGCUGUUUUGCAAGGAGGAAUGGGAAAAAAUGUCAGUCUCUCGAUGUGCAAAACUGAUAAGAGACAUACCCCAAGCGACUUACAGCUGUAAUCGCAGCAAAAGGUGGCGCUACAAAGUAUUAACUUAAGGGGGCUGAAUAAUUUUGCACGCCCA